CAAAGUGUUGGGAUUACAGGCGUGAGCCACUGCGCCCCGCCCCACGUAUCUUUUUAAAAGAUAAAUGUUAUCGUGUGCAUUUACGGUGUACGUUGUGGUGGUGUAGGGUACGUAUACGUAGUAAAUUGGUGGCCACAGCAGAACGGGUGAGUUUUGCAUCAUCUCCCAGGCACCUGUCUUCCUCCCACAGCCAGCGCAACCAUGACCCAUGCAUUAGCAGACGCCUGGAGCAUAAUUAUUCUCUGCAGCCCUCAGGUGCACACGAGCCCUUUUGAAGGGGCUCACCCUGUCGCCCACUGUUUUAUUCUCUGUCUUUAUAUAUUUGAUCCCCACCUUUUUAUUUAUUUAUUUUUGUGAGACAGGUUCUUGCUCUCUUGCCCAGGCUGGAGUGCAGUGGUAUGAUCACGGCUCACUGCAGCCUCAACCUCCUGGGCUCAAGCAAUCCUCCCGCCUUAGCUUCCCAGGUAGCUGGGACCACAGGUGCACACCACCACACUUAACUAAUUUUAAAAACAUUUUUGUAGAGAUGGGGUUUUGCUAUGUUACCCAGGCUGGUCUCAAAACUCCUGAGCUCAAGUGAUCCUCCCACCUUGACCUCCCAAAAUGCUGAGAUUACAGGUGUGAGCCACCGCACCCAAUACCCCCGCCUGCCUUUAUUUAUUUAUUUUAAAGAUUCUGGAUAUUAGUGAGAUCCUGUGAUGUUUCUUUCUGUGUCUGGCUUGUCUUGCUGGCAUCGUGACCCCUAGUCCAUCCAUGUGGCAAAUGCAGGAUCUCCUCUGUUUUUAAGGCUGAACAAUAGUCCAUCACCUCUCUCCACGUGAUCAUAUACACCACAGUCUCCUUAUCUGUCCGGCCACUGAUGAAUGCCCAGGUAGUUCCCUGCUUUGGCCGCUGUGGGUAGUGCUGUGGUGGACGUGUGAGUGUGGACACCUGGAUGGGUGGUGAGCUGGAUUCCUUCGGGUACAGGCCCAGGGGAAGGACUGUCAGGCCCUGUGGCAGUUCUAUUUUUAAUUUCCAUAAUGGCUGAAGUGCCCAUACACCUUACACUCACUCUCCUCUGUAAUUAACAUUUUAUCUUAUCAUGGAACGUUGGUCACAGUGAAUGGACCGUAAUGAUACAUUGUCAUUAAGCAUAAUCCACACGUUAUUCAGGUUCCCUGAGUUUUUCUCUAAUGUCCUUUUUUCUGUGCCAGGGCCCCGUCUGGAUCUCAUGUGACAUUUAUUUAUUUAUAAAAUGUAUUGUUAUUAUUAUUUUGAUACAGAGUUUCACUCUUGUUGCCCAGGCUGUUGAUGUCCCAGGGAUGUCCUGGUUGCUGGUCUUUCCCCACACCGGGUGGGGUUACGGUGGGUGGUGACUAGGAGUCAAUGUCAAAACCCUUUUAGCCACAGUUGAGCAAUAGGGGAGGUUUGGAGGGUGUGGUGCCUGGGCUGAGGCCCCCUGGGGCCCGUUACUGAGUUCAGUUUUGUCUGCUUUGGAGUCUCUUGCUGUCAUCUCGACGCGCUGGGCCAGCAUGAUCCUGCGAGGAGUUGUACUUCAAAAUUUAACAAGGAACAAACGCAAAGCUUCAAAAGGGGAAAUACAAGGUAAAAUUAAUAGUAAUGUGGCAAUCCCAGUUUGCACAGUGGCUUUGUCACGAACCCAGCCGUAAAGGCAACCAAGGGAAUAAAUCAGAUAACCUCACGGUGGGUGAGACCGGCUGCGACCCUGUGGCCUGUUUUCUUAUUUUGUGCAUGUGGGUCUCAGCUUUCCCAGAGGAGUUUCUCCAGGUGCAGCGUGUGGUGGCAGCAACAGCACAGGCAUUUCCUUACUUAACCAGAAGAGACUAAGGGAUCUCCUGGGUCAGGUUCUGUGGAGUUCCAGCAGAAGCCGCGGAUCGUGGAAGUUCAGCGACACCACCGUCCUGCCCCGUGGGAGAGGUGGGCAUUGAGAUGGGUAAGAGCGUCAUCAUGACAGGAGUCCUGUUCGCCGGCGUCUAGGGAAAGCCGUCUACAGCAUGAAACGUCCUAUUCGCGACCUGGUUUGCAGUUCGAAUGUCUCUGACUAUGGCAUUGGGAGGUACAGUGAACUUUUGUGUGGCCCACACAUCAGACGCAAGGCUUCUUUUGGAGAAUUCAUCUAGUUUUAGCUGAUAGGACUUCAGGAACAGAGAAGUUUCCAUUUUUAGUAAUUCUAUGGAAGAAAGUUA
rnacentral:lncRNA from 1 species